GAAAUGCGAUAAGUAGUGUGAAUUGCAGAAUUCCGUGAAUCAUCGAAUCUUUGAACGCACAUUGCGCCUUCUGGUAUUCCGGAAGGCAUGCCUGUUCGAGCGUCAUCAAAAACCCUCAAGCUUGAUAUUCCUUCGGCUUGGUAUUGGAGAUGGAGCGAUCUAUAUCAUUCCUCUCUGAAACACAAUGGCGAAGUUGCGCGCCCGAUGAGUGUAGUAAUCAACGUUAUGUUUCACCAUCGAUCGCGCAAGUUCUUGCCGAAUUCCCCCAUGUAGCGUUUGACCUCGGAUCAGGUAGGGAUACCCGCUGAACUUAA
rnacentral:misc_RNA from 1 species